rnacentral:rRNA from 1 species
UACGAAGGGGGCUAGCGUUGCUCGGAAUCACUGGGCGUAAAGCGCGCGUAGGUGGUUUGUUAAGUUGGAUGUGAAAUCCCCGGGCUCAACCUGGGAACUGCAUUCAAAACUGACAAGCUAGAGUAUGGUAGAGGGUGGUGGAAUUUCCUGUGUAGCGGUGAAAUGCGUAGAUAUAGGAAGGAACACCAGUGGCGAAGGCGACCACCUGGACUGAUACUGACACUGAGGUGCGAAAGCGUGGGGAGCAAACAGG